CGUAGAAUCUACCAUCGGAUC
rnacentral:miRNA from 1 species